GACGAACGCUGGCGGCGUGCUUAACACAUGCAAGUCGAACGGAAAGGCCCUGCUUUUGUGGGGUGCUCGAGUGGCGAACGGGUGAGUAACACGUGAGUAACCUGCCCUUGACUUUGGGAUAACUUCAGGAAACUGGGGCUAAUACCGGAUAGGAGCUCCUGCUGCAUGGUGGGGGUUGGAAAGUUUCGGCGGUUGGGGAUGGACUCGCGGCUUAUCAGCUUGUUGGUGGGGUAGCGGCUUACCAAGGCUUUGACGGGUAGCCGGCCUGAGAGGGUGACCGGCCACAUUGGGACUGAGAUACGGCCCAGACUCCUACGGGAGGCAGCAGUGGGGAAUAUUGCACAAUGGGCGGAAGCCUGAUGCAGCAACGCCGCGUGCGGGAUGACGGCCUUCGGGUUGUAAACCGCUUUCGCCUGUGACGAAGCGUGAGUGACGGUAAUGGGUAAAGAAGCACCGGCUAACUACGUGCCAGCAGCCGCGGUGAUACGUAGGGUGCGAGCGUUGUCCGGAUUUAUUGGGCGUAAAGGGCUCGUAGGUGGUUGAUCGCGUCGGAAGUGUAAUCUUGGGGCUUAACCCUGAGCGUGCUUUCGAUACGGGUUGACUUGAGGAAGGUAGGGGAGAAUGGAAUUCCUGGUGGAGCGGUGGAAUGCGCAGAUAUCAGGAGGAACACCAGUGGCGAAGGCGGUUCUCUGGGCCUUUCCUGACGCUGAGGAGCGAAAGCGUGGGGAGCGAACAGGCUUAGAUACCCUGGUAGUCCACGCUGUAAACGGUGGGUACUAGGUGUGGGGUCCAUUCCACGGGUUCCGUGCCGUAGCUAACGCUUUAAGUACCCCGCCUGGGGAGUACGGCCGCAAGGCUAAAACUCAAAGGAAUUGACGGGGCCCCGCACAAGCGGCGGAGCAUGCGGAUUAAUUCGAUGCAACGCGUAGAACCUUACCUGGGUUUGACAUGGAUCGGGAGUGCUCAGAGAUGGGUGUGCCUCUUUUGGGGUCGGUUCACAGGUGGUGCAUGGCUGUCGUCAGCUCGUGUCGUGAGAUGUUGGGUUAAGUCCCGCAACGAGCGCAACCCUUGUUCACUGUUGCCAGCACGUUAUGGUGGGGACUCAGUGGAGACCGCCGGGGUCAACUCGGAGGAAGGUGGGGAUGACGUCGAGUCAUCGUCCCCCUUAUGUCCAGGGCUUCACGCAUGCUACUAUGGGGGGUACAGAGAGGGGUGACGACUGUGAUGCCGGUCGAAUCUCUCAAAGCCGGUCGCUGUUUGGAUUGGGGUCUGCAACUCGCCCUCAAGAAGUCGGAGUGGCUGGUAAUUGCAGAUCAGAAGGCGUUGGGGUGAAUACGUUCGCUGGG
rnacentral:rRNA from 1 species